GAUGAACGCUGGCGGCGUGCCUAAUACAUGCAAGUCGAGCGAACAGAUGAGGAGCUUGCUCCUCUGACGUUAGCGGCGGAAGGGUGAGUAACACGUGGAUAACCUACCUAUAAGACUGGGAUAACUUCGGGAAACCGGAGCUAAUACCGGAUAAUAUAUUGAACCGCAUGGUUCAAUAGUGAAAGACGGUUUUGCUGUCACUUAUAGAUGGAUCCGCGCCGCAUUAGCUAGUUGGUAAGGUAACGGCUUACCAAGGCAACGAUGCGUAGCCGACCUGAGAGGGUGAUCGGCCACACUGGAACUGGGACACGGUCCAGACUCCUACGGGAGGCAGCAGUAGGGAAUCUUCCGCAAUGGGCGAAAGCCUGACGGAGCAACGCCGCGUGAGUGAUGAAGGUCUUCGGAUCGUAAAACACUGUUAUUAGGGAGGAACAAAUGUGUAAGUAACUAUGCACGACUUGACGGUACCUAAUCAGAAAGCCACGGCUAACUACGUG
rnacentral:rRNA from 1 species